GUUGGGUAGGGGAGCGUUCUGUAAGCCUGCGAAGGUGGCCUGUGAGGGUUGCUGGAGGUAUCAGAAGUGCGAAUGCUGACAUAAGUAACGAUAAAGCGGGUGAAAAGCCCGCUCGCCGGAAGACCAAGGGUUCCUGUCCAACGUUAAUCGGGGCAGGGUGAGUCGACCCCUAAGGCGAGGCCGAAAGGCGUAGUCGAUGGGAAACAGGUUAAUAUUCCUGUACUUGGUGUUACUGCGAAGGGGGGACGGAGAAGGCUAUGUUGGCCGGGCGACGGUUGUCCCGGUUUAAGCGUGUAGGUGUGUGUUCCAGGUAAAUCCGGUUCACUUUAACACUGAGGCGUGACGACGAGGCACUACGGUGCUGAAGCAACAAAUGCCCUGCUUCCAGGAAAAGCCUCUAAGCAUCAGGUAACAUCAAAUCGUACCCCAAACCGACACAGGUGGUCAGGUAGAGAAUACCAAGGCGCUUGAGAGAACUCGGGUGAAGGAACUAGGCAAAAUGGUGCCGUAACUUCGGGAGAAGGCACGCUGACACGUAGGUGAAGUGAUUUACUCAUGGAGCUGAAGUCAGUCGAAGAUACCAGCUGGCUGCAACUGUUUAUUAAAAACACAGCACUGUGCAAACACGAAAGUGGACGUAUACGGUGUGACGCCUGCCCGGUGCCGGAAGGUUAAUUGAUGGGGUCAGCGCAAGCGAAGCUCCUGAUCGAAGCCCCGGUAAACGGCGGCCGUAACUAUAACGGUCCUAAGGUAGCGAAAUUCCUUGUCGGGUAAGUUCCGACCUGCACGAAUGGCGUAAUGAUGGCCAGGCUGUCUCCACCCGAGACUCAGUGAAAUUGAACUCGCUGUGAAGAUGCAGUGUACCCGCGGCAAGACGGAAAGACCCCGUGAACCUUUACUAUAGCUUGACACUGAACAUUGAGCCUUGAUGUGUAGGAUAGGUGGGAGGCUUUGAAGCGUGGACGCCAGUCUGCGUGGAGCCGACCUUGAAAUACCACCCUUUAAUGUUUGAUGUUCUAACGUGGACCCGUUACCCGGGUUGCGGACAGUGUCUGGUGGGUAGUUUGACUGGGGCGGUCUCCUCCUAAAGAGUAACGGAGGAGCACGAAGGUUGGCUAAUCCUGGUCGGACAUCAGGAGGUUAGUGCAAUGGCAUAAGCCAGCUUGACUGCGAGCGUGACGGCGCGAGCAGGUGCGAAAGCAGGUCAUAGUGAUCCGGUGGUUCUGAAUGGAAGGGCCAUCGCUCAACGGAUAAAAGGUACUCCGGGGAUAACAGGCUGAUACCGCCCAAGAGUUCAUAUCGACGGCGGUGUUUGGCACCUCGAUGUCGGCUCAUCACAUCCUGGGGCUGAAGUAGGUCCCAAGGGUAUGGCUGUUCGCCAUUUAAAGUGGUACGCGAGCUGGGUUUAGAACGUCGUGAGACAGUUCGGUCCCUAUCUGCCGUGGGCGCUGGAGAACUGAGGGGGGCUGCUCCUAGUACGAGAGGACCGGAGUGGACGCAUCACUGGUGUUCGGGUUGUCAUGCCAAUGGCACUGCCCGGUAGCUAAAUGCGGAAGAGAUAAGUGCUGAAAGCAUCUAAGCACGAAACUUGCCCCGAGAUGAGUUCU
rnacentral:rRNA from 1 species